rnacentral:rRNA from 1 species
GUGAGGAAUUUUGCGCAAUGGCCGCAAGGCUGACGCAGCAACGCCGCGUGGGUGAUGAAGGCCUUCGGGUCGUAAAGCCCUGUCAGGUGGGAAGAAAGGCCUGGAGAGGAAAGGUUUCAGGUUUGACGGUACCACCAGAGGAAGCACCGGCUAACUCCGUGCCAGCAGCCGCGGUAAUACGGAGGGUGCGAGCGUUAUUCGGAAUUACUGGGCGUAAAGCGCGUGUAGGCGGGGAGACAAGUCUGAUGUGAAAGCCCUGGGCUUAACCUGGGAAGUGCAUUGGAAACUGUUUUUCUUGAGUACUGGAGAGGAAGGGGGAAUUCCCGGUGUAGAGGUGAAAUUCGUAGAGAUCGGGAGGAAUACCAGUGGCGUAGGCGCCCUUCUGGACGGUAACUGACGCUGAGACGCGAAAGCGUGGGGAGCAAACAGGAUUAGAAACCCCAGUAGUCC